GAAAAAACAGCACAGUUUGGAACAACCAAAGUUUUUGUUGAAUUUCAAGCUUGCAUUUUUGUUCUUCUUAAUUGAGAUUUUGUUGUUUCAAUGCGACGUCGUUGUUUGCAACAAACUUGAUGCAUUAGUUGUUUCUACCAUUAGAUAAUGGUAAACUCAACGUUGUUUCAUGAUAGCUUCAAAUUAUAUUAUUGGUUGUUUAUAACUGGAACAUUGUAUGAUUUUAUCAUAUUUUAGGUAGUUCAUGAUUGUUGUGAGAAAAGAGAAUCAAACUAGUGUCUUAGUUAGGUUCAACAAAACUACUGCGUUUAAUUGAUGCAACAUUUUGUUUGAAAACAAUUCAAGUUAAUAUUUUGUUAGAAUCAACCUAAAGCUUCACAUUGGCGGUUCCACCGCCGUGAUAGCUUCGUUCUACGCUCGAUCUACGCCAUAUUGUAAAAUAGUCACAUUCACCGAGUUCAUCAACUGUAGAGCUGCUUCUGCCCCCCUGAAAAACGUACAAUAAAUAUACAUUGUGGUGCUGCGCGUGGAACGGAUUGAAGCAACAUCAAAAACAUUAGAUCGCGUGAGUGAAAUUUUUGGGUUGAUUUUUUUUGUGAGCUUGCCAACAGAAUAGCUAUGAAAUUUACGCGUUAAAUUUUCAUCUCUUUACAGGUAUGAAAUGCUUUAAUUAAUAGACCGAUGUGGCAUUAUCGAUUUCCCCACGCAUCAAGCAGUUUUUUCAACAUCCUUCGAGCCUCAUAUGUGCAUUUCAAAAAAUAUAAUGUGCUUACAAAGAUCAUCUGAUUCUGAAAGAAGAUUACAAAUAUAGCAAUGAAUAGAACGAAGCUUUAAA